UAGGGAAUCUUCCACGAUGGACGCAAGUCUGAUGGAGCAACGCCGCGUGAGUGAAGAAGGCUUUCGGGUCGUAAAACUCUGUUAUUGAAGAAGAACGUGUGUGACAGUAACUGGUCAUGCAGUGACGGUAUUCAAUCAGAAAGUCACGGCUAACUACGUGCCAGCAGCCGCGGUAAUACGUAGGUGGCAAGCGUUGUCCGGAUUUAUUGGGCGUAAAGCGAGUGCAGGCGGUCUUUUAAGUCUGAUGUGAAAGCCUUCGGCUUAACCGAAGAAGGGCAUCGGAAACU
rnacentral:rRNA from 1 species